AAUAUCCCUCCAUGGCCUCUGCAUCAGCUCCUGCUUCCUGACCUGCUUGACUUCUAGUCCUGCAUCCUUUGGUGAUCAACAGCGAUUUGGAAAGUACAGAAGACAGAAUAAAGAAAAGAAGGCUGAUGUGGAAUGUGGAGAAGACAAAAAUAAAGAACAGCUGCAGUAAUGAAGAGGCGAUCUGCGAGAGAUGCAAGAGUGAGCUGCACUAUCAGGUCCUCAGCUAAAUGAACUCCAAAGAUCAGGUUCAGGGGAGCACUACCAGAAAAGGCUUACAGCUGCCCAAAUCUAAUCCAAAGGUUCUUAACUCCUCCAGCACCCCACACUACCCAGUCUGCGAACCUGUGCAACACUGUAGGAAUCAGUACGGUGAAAGGCGUUAGUGAGUCUUAGGCCAGAAUCACUGGGAUGAAGGGGGAGGGGGAGGAAAGCUCAAUACAGGUAGGCUCCGCAGCAAUGGAAAACCUAAAGGGGAGAAAUUUUCCCUUCUACCACUUGGAUGUUCAGAUGCUAAUAAAAAUGGUUUAAAGAAAUAAUACUGCUUUGUAUUCCUAAGUGGUCCACACCAUUCUUGGCAAAUAUGAUUAAUACUGACAGUUAACUUGACAAAAUCUACAACAACCUAGGAGGAAAGCCUUUGGACAUGCCUAUGCAGGAUUGUCUAGAUUAGAUGAACUGAAGUGGGAAGACUCACCCUGAAUGCGGACCGCUAUUCCACGGACUUCACACAAAGGCAACAGCUAGGAGACGGUAUCCAUCUCUGCUUCCUGACUGCAGAUGCGUUGUGACUACCUGUCUCAUUCUCUCACUGUGAUGGACUGUACCCUCAAACCGUGUGUCAAAAUGUUCCUCAAGUUGCUUCUUGUCAAAUAUUUUGUCAUAGAAACAAGAAAAGUAACUAACAGGAAAUUGUCACUAAUCUUUGAGGUAAUUACCUAUAAUCCCUAAGGAUUAUUUCAUGAACACUAAAAAGCAAUGCCCCAAAUGUUACAUAAAUUACAAAAUGUAUUAACUUGUUCUACCUGGUUCUUAUAUUAAAGCAGUCAUUUUACAAAUGCACAAAAACAUAUUAGAUGGAAGACUAAGAAAGGAGGACAGAGAACACAGAAAGAAAAUGGCAAAGCAAAGGCUGUUCCCGUCCUAAUGACAAGUACAAAGCCUUGCCUAUUUAGAUCUCUCACGUUUGUUCUCUCUCAACACUAGCCUCUUCCAAGUUAAGUCCACUUCGAGCUGCAAAGAAUUUAACUAUCUGAGUCCAAAGGCACUGAAGUGAUGAUCCAAAGUAGUAGAAAUGAAGGGAACUACAGAGGAAGACUCUUGUAAUGCAUUUUUUAGCCUUCUCAUAUGGCUCAUUUUGAUGUUGAUUAAAAACUGAACACCAAAAGAAAAGGCUAUUUUCUACAGUAAUUAGAAUAAAUCACAAACCUAAGAGAGACAGCACCACAGAGAGGACGACAGACUAAUUAGCUUGAGAUUUCUCACUGAAGGAAGCAGGCUGGGAUGAUAGCAGGUAACACUUACUGGGCACUUAUGCUAGGCACAGCAACUAAGCACUUUAUAUUACAUACAACACUAUGAAAUGGGGACUAUCAUUAUCCCUGUUUUAAAGAUGAAGAAGAAACAGAAAUUGGAGAAUUAAAGAAACUUGCUUAAGGUCAUACAACUAUUUGGAACUAGAGCUGAGGUAGGAGGUCUAACUAGAGAGCCUAUACUUUUAUCCAACAGAGUUGUAAACAUGUACUCAAUUUUUAUUAAACCAGACCUUUCCUCAAAUGAAUAUGCAUUGACCAUGAAAAGGAUUCAGAAAACAUAAGCCAGGUGGUUAAAUACAACAAAUUAAGUGUCUCCCAUCUGGUAGUAACUCCCUGAUUGUCCGCCAUAAUCACAGUUGAAUAGCUGUACAGUAAAUAACAGAGUUUUAUUCAGUGUCUUGAUAUGGCUGACAGUAUAUAACAACGUUAUUUAGUGUCUUCAUAUGGCUGUGAAACUGCCCUUUAAUUGAACCUCUCAAAACACUGCAAAUGAAAUACGUUGCACUCUUAGAGUUAUGAAAAUACAUUAUUUCUCGGUC
rnacentral:lncRNA from 1 species